rnacentral:rRNA from 1 species
GAUUAUGGCUCAGGAUGAACGCUGGCGGCGUGCUUAACACAUGCAAGUCGAACGGGAAUUACAUUUUAGCUUGCUAAGUUGUAAUUCUAGUGGCGGACGGGUGAGUAACGCGUGGGGUAACCUGCCUUAUACAGGGGGACAACAGUUGGAAACGACUGCUAAUACCGCAUAAGCGCACAGAUAGGCAUCUAUCAGUGUGAAAAAACUCCGGUGGUAUAAGAUGGACCCGCGUCUGAUUAGCUAGUUGGUGAGGUAACGGCCCACCAAGGCGACGAUCAGUAGCCGGCCUGAGAGGGCAAUCGGCCACAUUGGGACUGAGACACGGCCCAAACUCCUACGGGAGGCAGCAGUGGGGAAUAUUGCACAAUGGAGGAAACUCUGACGCCAGCGACGCCGCGUGAGUGAAGAAGUAUUUCGGUAUGUAAAGCUCUAUCAGCAGGAAAGAAAAUGACGGUACCUGACUAAGAAGCCCCGGCUAACUACGUGCCAGCAGCGGC